UUUGCACGGAGUAAACGAAGUAGCCGUCGGUUCCGGCCGCGGACCCGAAGCGCGCGCAGGCUCGGGACCCGCACUCGGGACUCCUGGCGGCACGGGUCCUGGAGGCACGGGAGACCGUAAGG
rnacentral:lncRNA from 1 species